rnacentral:tRNA from 1 species
UGGGAUGUAGCUCAGUGGCAAAGCGCUUGCCUAGCAAGCGCAACGUCCUGGGUUCGAUCCCCAGUAUCAAAA